UACGAAGGGGGGCUAGCGUUGCUCGGAAUCACUGGGCGUAAAGCGCACGUAGGCGGCUUCUUAAGUCAGGGGUGAAAUCCUGGAGCUCAACUCCAGAACUGCCCUUGAUACUGAGGAGCUCGAGUCCGGAAGAGGUGAGUGGAACUGCGAGUGUAGAGGUGAAAUUCGUAGAUAUUCGCAAGAACACCAGUGGCGAAGGCGGCUCACUGGUCCGGUACUGACGCUGAGGUGCGAAAGCGUGGGGAGCAAACAGGAUUAAGAAA
rnacentral:rRNA from 1 species